rnacentral:misc_RNA from 1 species
CCGAGCUGCUUCUUCGUUUCAAAUACAUUUGGCGCCGCUGCCUAUUGUUUGAGCCUGUGCUCACGAUGAAAACACGCAUCGCAGAAACCUGAAAGCCCGCCAAAAGAGCUCUAAAAACCGCAUCCCAGACCUGCCGGCAGACUUCCGAGCUAAGCCUGAUUAAACAAAAACGUUUGAUCCGGCGGAAUAAUGUGUUUGAUAUUACAUCCCAUGUCAACAAGGAACUGCGCUGUCUGUCUUCGCCCCCAACAGGUUUUAUUCUUCCGGGUUUUUCAAAUCUUUACCAACCCGCGUCCGAUCGUAAUACCCCGAUCACAACAAAUAGUUGAUCGUGCUCCGAUGGCUCCAAACAUCAGCCGGCAAGGAAGUUACGUUUUUCGCUUCUAUAUUUUGACCCAAGUGAUGGCUGGUCGUGGUUCAUCAGCGUUUGUUUUGAAACUGAUGGGUACCACAAGGCAUGAAGGAGGUGACUUGCAGCAGCAAGGCACUGCAAGCCUUCGCAGCAACUGGCUAGCCAGUGCUGCUCUGUUCUGAACUGCACUGCGUGUCAUGCGGAGGUUUUGUGCAAGCUCUCUGGGCGGCGACGCUAGCCACGAUUGGCUUCGUGGAUGCACAGAAAUACUCAAGGCGCUUGACGUCUGUGGCUCAUCUGUAUUGUUUUUCCCGGUACCACGGCAUGAAGGAGCUGGCCUCCCUCCCUUCCAUCAGCUGCGAGAUACUACAAGCACUGGGCUACAGCUGCAGCUAGCCCAUGGGUACCGUUCUGCGUCCUGUACUGCAUCUAGUUCGAAAGGCCAUGUGAAAGGCAGUAUUUCCCGUGUGUCGACGUGAGAAGGCAGCG